ensembl:lncRNA
ACACCCAAACACACCUGAGGUUCACCCAGACACACCUGGGACACACCCAAACACACCUGAGGUUCACCCAGACACACCUGGGACACACCCAAACACACCUGAGGUUCACCCAGGACACACCUGGGACACACCCAGGACACACCUGGGAUACACCCAAACAUACCUGGGACACACCCAAACACACCUGGGCACACCUGGGAGUCACCCAAGCACACCUGGGACACACCCAAACACACCUGGGAUGCACCAGGGAUACACCUGGGCUACACCUGUGCCCACCUGGGCCACACCUGUGCCCACCUGUGCCCCUCCCCAGGAAGUCGGAGGCUCCCCGAGCCACGCGGGAUGAGAAGCGCCGGGCACAGCACAACGAAGGUACCGGGGGGGGACCCAAUCCCGAAGGGACACCCCCAUUCCUGAGGGACACCCCCAUCCCACAGGGACACCCUGAUCCCAAAGGGACACACCCAUCCCACAGGGACACACCCAUCCCAAAGGGACACACCCAUCCCAAAGGGACACCCCAAUUCCUGGGGGUCACCCCAGUUCCCAGUGCCCCAUUCCCACUGGGAAUCCCCAUUCCCAAUUCCCCCAUUCCCAACUGGGAAUUCCUGUUCCCAAUCCCAUUCCCACUGGCAAUCCCCGUUCCCAUUCCCAAUUCCCAUUCCCAAUCCCCGUUCCCGUUCCCAAUCCCAUUCCCAAUCCUGUUCCCAUUCCCAAUCCCAUUCCCACUGGGAAUUCCCGUUCCCAAUCCCAUUCCCACUGGCAAUCCCCAUUCCCAUUCCCAAUUCCCAUUCCCAAUCCCAUUCCCGUUCCCAAUCCCAUUCCCAAUCCCGUUCCCAUUCCCAAUCCCAUUCCCAAUCCCAUUCCCACUGGGAAUUCCCAUUCCCAAUCCCCAUUCCCAAUCCCCGUUCACAAUUCCCCCGUUCACAAUGCCAUUCCCACUGGCAAUCCCCAAUCCCGUUCCCAAUCCCGUUCCCAAUCCCCAUUCCCAAUCCCGUUCCCAAUCCCCAUUCCCAAUCCCAUUCCCAAUCCCAAUCCCAUUCCCAUUCCCAAUCCCAAUCCCAUUCCCA